rnacentral:rRNA from 1 species
CCUACGGGAGGCAGCAGUGGGGAAUAUUGGGCAAUGGAGGAAACUCUGACCCAGCGACGCCGCGUGCGGGAUGAAGGCCUUCGGGUUGUAAACCGCUUUCAGUAGGGAAGAAGCGAAAGUGACGGUACCUACAGAAGAAGCACCGGCUAACUAUGUGCCAGCAGCCGCGGUAAUACAUAGGGUGCAAGCGUUGUCCGGAAUUAUUGGGCGUAAAGAGCUCGUAGGUGGUUCGUCACGUCGGAUGUGAAAAUCUGGGGCUCAACCCCAGACCUGCAUUCGAUACGGGCGAUCUAGAGUGUGGUAGGGGAGACUGGAAUUCCUGGUGUAGCGGUGGAAUGCGCAGAUAUCAGGAGGAACACCAAUGGCGAAGGCAGGUCUCUGGGCCAUUACUGACACUGAGGAGCGAAAGCGUGGGGAGCGAACAGGAUUAGAUACCCUGGUAGUCCACGCCGUAAACGGUGGGCACUAGUUGUGGGAACCUUCCACGGUUUCUGCGACGCAGCUAACGCAUUAAGUGCCCCGCCUGGGGAGUACGAUCGCAAGNUUAAAACUCAAAGGAAUUGACGGNUGAGAGUGCGAGACGACGACGAGGAGAG